CAGUAGCCGCGGGAAUACAGAGGGUGCAAGCGUUAAUCGGAUUUACUGGGCGUAAAGCGCGCGUAAGCGGUUACUCAAGUCAGAGGUGAAAGCCCGGGGCUCAACCCCGGAACUGCCUUUGAAACUAGGUGACUAGAAUCUUGGAGAGGUCAGUGGAAUUCCGAGUGUAGAGGUGAAAUUCGUAGAUAUUCGGAAGAACACCAGUGGCGAAGGCGACUGACUGGACAAGUAUUGACACUGAGGUGCGAAAGCGUGGGGAGCAAACAGGAUUAGAUACCCCGGUAGUCCCUGUCUCUUAUAC
rnacentral:rRNA from 1 species